GGGGAUGUAGCUCAUACGGUAGAGCGCUCGCUUUGCAUACGAGAGGUACAGGGAUUGAUACCCUGUAUUUCCA
rfam:Ipomoea nil DNA, scaffold: scaffold1993, cultivar: Tokyo-kokei standard.